ACACGAUGAAAGCAUUUCAUGAAGUGUAUUGGGUUGAUGGAUGGAUGACUGAAUGAGCGAGUAAAUAAAUGAAAACUUCACAUAUGAGUUUUUACAGUAUGUAGUCUCCUGUAUGUGUACCUUUGUGACGUUUGCUCAUAUUAUAGACACAGCAGAAGGAAGAUUUCUGGAUGAAGAACCCUGGCAAAAACUUCUUAGAAAUCCUUCAUUGUGGUAUUAUUUGCUUGUUUAAAAAAUUCUCCCUGAGCUAACAUCCGCUGCUGAUCUUCCUCUUAUUUUUUGGACAUGAGCUGCCACCACAGCAUGGCUACUAACAGUUUUGUUACAGGAUAGAGGAGCUUAAAAUGACAUGCAUUGAGGAACCUUUUCACUACCUCCCCUGUUGCGGAAGAAUAUGCUUAUUGAGGAUAUCAGUUUCUGCAUGUGGGAAGUAGAUAUUGAAGGUUAUAUGGUUUACAGACAAGAUCUUUAAAAGAUAGGCACUCCAGGUUCUUCCAGCCCCUCCUUCCCCCCGACCAUGUGUACUGAUGACACCUGAUGCUCUCACCACCUACAGGACCAAGGAAAUAAAUACCAGAAGCCAAGAGCACAGAAUAUUUUCCUUCAUCAAUCCACAAACCCUGAUACUUCUCUAAUUCCAUCAAACACAAAGGAAUGAUCACCUUUGCAGAUGGCCACAGAGGAUGUCAGCAAUUUUUUGGAGGCAAGCAAUGAAAUAUUUGUGCUAUGAGUUUUCUGUUAUUAAGUAUGUAGAAACAAGUAAAAUUGUUUUGCAUUUUAAUGAAAAAAUAAAAAGUGUUCUUUAAUAUAGCAAUUUAUGUAAGGAUAGCUAAGCUAUUUCUCUCUUCCAUUUUUUUUUUUCUUUUUUUUUGGGCACUGUGGCAAGUCGGAAAAUGCAUUAAGCUGCUUUUGUGUAUUGUUACGUAGUACAGAGCUACAUUAUAUCCCUAAAUACCCAAUAAAAAUUUAAAUAACAGAAAUUAAGUACCCAUAUUUGAAAACACAGCUCUUUUCUAUCAUGGGCACACAUAUCAUACAACUACAAAUACUAAACAGUUUGGGAAGUUAGAGUUAUUUUCUAUUUAUUUUACAAUUUUCCAUACCAUGUAUGAAUUUUUUUAUUUAACUCCAGCAUUUUUUUUCACUUAUUUUUGACAACUAUUCUAAAGUGCUCCAAAAUCUUGGGAAGUCAUCCCUUUAUAUUCCUCACAGCUUUCUUUUUGUGAGAAUCCCGCAUCAAACGAUCUCAUUGAACUUUUAGUUACUUUCUUAGCAGCUCUUAGUCCUCUUGGAAGAACAGUUGGCCAAGAAUUGUGGAGCACAGUUCUAUUUUCAAAACCGAAAUUAAUUACAUUACCCUUUGAAGGGAAAGUUUGCUUGGAAAGAAAUUGACUGUAUUUUAAAGAAAAAAAAUUUAAAUGUAAAGUAUCUGCCUUCUCUGUCUUCAUGAAAAAGACUUAAGUAGAGGAAUAUAAAAUGAAAUAAAAGUAAACAUAAAAAAUUUAAGUGGAAUGCACUAAAAUUGAACUUUUCAAAGGAUUUUAUAAAAGAAACUAUAGAUAUGCUCAGAAUUUUUUAUUUAAUCUUAGUAACUCAUAGGCCUUAGGUCAUCCAGCAAACGAGUCUACUUUUUAAGUUGUACAUAGAGGAAUACUUUCUAAGUAAAGGAGCCUAUAAAUGUUUAAAGAGCCCAGUGUGGAGCUGAGUUUUCUUUCAGUAACUGGAGUCAAAAUUAAUUCUUAUUCUUCUGUUGGGGAAAAUUUCAUCUAAUUAUGUUAAAAUUAUUCUGCAACUUUUUGGACAGCAGAUCCUGAUCACCAAAGAAAAGAAAAAGCAGCUGAGUUGCACUGGCCUAAUAGUUAUCAGAAUAGUAUUAUUAUGCAGUCACCUGGCUUUGUGGAAUGUUAGUGGUUAUCCACUGGCUGCCUUCUGGCAGAGACACACCUAAACCUUUCUGAACUGCUGAUAAUGUAUGCCUUCUGUUUGUAAGGAUCUUCAAAGAAAUAGAUUCCACUGCUUCCUUCAAGAAACUAAUCUAAUUUAACAGCGUCCGGAGUGGGAAGUUCUUUCUUAUAACCCUUUGCACACUUUUAUUAAGUGACUGUUUAUAAAACUUCUUUUCUCAGAAUUAUACUUUAAUCGUGAUUUAAAUCUUUUCUUAGUUUGAUAUAAUCCACUUAACUAUUUUAAAAAAUAUUUAAAAUUGAUUAUUGCUAAAUUACUGAAGAGAGUUCCCAUAAACAGUCCUUCUCCAUAAGCAACCUAUUAUCAGAUUUCUCUGUUUCUUUUUUCAUUCAUCCACAUAUAGUAUCUUAUUUUGAUUUUAAGUUAUUCUUUAACCACAACAACAUAUCUUGUGUCAGCUCUAAUUUAUAUUUCUUCUACGUUCUAUUAAGAAGCCUUUUGUUCUCCUUGAAUUGCAUUCUAUUUAUGACCAUGUCAUUAAUAAGCCACAGAUAUUUAUAUUCUAAUUGAUAAAGUGCUGACUGUUUCAUUUAUUUCCUAUAUUUUAAGGUUUAUUUUCAAAUUAAAGUGGUAAAAACUUUCAGUAGUUAGAAUGGCAACUAGAACAUAGCAGGCAUGACUUAGAAGUUUGCUGUACAAGAAAACAAGUUCACAGAACAGAGUGACUGAUAAACCACAACUGUGCCACACCAACCAGCUGUGUGACCUUGGGCAAAUUAGUGAUUCUUUUUGACCCCCACACAUCUUUAAAAUUUGGAUGCUAAUAAUAAUAUGACUGUAAGGAUUAAAUAGGAUAGAUAACAUAAGUAACAAUCUUGGGUACCUAGCACUUGCCUAGGACAUAAUUCAAUAAAUAGGUGAUGUAAUUAUUCUACUUUUUGUGAAAUGAUUAAAAACAGGUUUCCUCAUAGUAAGCUCAACUCUUGGAAAAGAAAUAAUGAAUUUGUUGGAUAUACUCAUGCCACAUUCCUUUUACAUCAUUAUGUCUGUUGUACUGCUACUAAAUUUUGUUUGCAUUGAAGUUUCCCAACAAGAAAUUUAAGAUUUAUGUUUAAACAUGUGAAAAUGCAAUUUAUCCAGAAAUCACUGUUAAAAAACGUAGUUGUUCAAAAAAAAAAGAGAUUGUUAACCUUUUAGUCACAUGAAACCUGUGUACAUUCCAAGUUUUGCAAGAAAUUUUACUUGGGUAUUCAUGAACUCACUACCUGUUCUAAAAUUUUCACUUUAUAUCAACCACUAUUAUUUGGAGAAAUA
rnacentral:lncRNA from 1 species